AGCGAACGCUGGCGGCAGGCCUAACACAUGCAAGUCGAACGAAGUCUUCGGACUUAGUGGCGGACGGGUGAGUAACACGUGGGAACGUGCCUUUAGGUUCGGAAUAACUCAGGGAAACUUGUGCUAAUACCGAAUGUGCCCUUCGGGGGAAAGAUUUAUCGCCUUUAGAGCGGCCCGCGUCUGAUUAGCUAGUUGGUGAGGUAAAGGCUCACCAAGGCGACGACCAGUAGCUGGUCUGAGAGGAUGAUCAGCCACAUUGGGACUGAGACACGGCCCAAACUCCGACGGGAGGCAGCAGUGGGGAAUCUUGCGCAAUGGGCGAAAGCCUGACGCAGCCAUGCCGCGUGAAUGAUGAAGGUCUUAGGAUUGUAAAAUUCUUUCACCGGGGACGAUAAUGACGGUACCCGGAGAAGAAGCCCCGGCUAACUUCGUGCCAGCCGCCGCCGUAAGAC
rnacentral:rRNA from 1 species